rnacentral:sRNA from 2 species
CCUGUUGGAUGUGCAAACAAGUUGAAGGAAAAGUCUUUGUCCCACAGAUCUCGUUCUGAAAUCUAGAGAUCUUCACAAGGGAUCGUCUAUCCGCCAGUGGUCUCAGGAUAACCAUGGAAAGUCAAAGGUUCAACGGAAGCUAUGUGGAAUACCAGAACCCAACUGCAAAUGAAAGAACAGCACCCGGUCGAUAUUACUAAGGAAAUUCCGUAACUAGUAUGUAGCUGGCAGCGAUUGAACAAAGCGGAAGUGGGAUGGAUGCUCACCCCCUUAUCAUAUCACUUCUUGUGCUAAGGUUAACAUUCAACAAGUUGCUCCCGAACUUCCAGCAAGUAUGUGCAUAUUUUAUACAGCGGAGCCCAAAUUACAGAUCUGGCUAUAUAGCUCCAUAGAAAUCAACUCAGAUCAUCUUCAUUAUUAUUUAAUACAUUUCCUUGAUUGAGAAUGAUACAAAUAGGGCCAAAAAAGAUCGGACAAAGGGCAAAUAGCCACGUCAUUCGACGAGUAAAUAAAUAAUCAAUCCCAACUAUGUUAUAAAUAAUGCUAACGCCACAAACGCCAGGGAAAGGAUUGGAAAUGGUGCGGAUAUCGAACUACAACAAAACAAAAUGGUAAGGGUUAACACGUACAGAUAUGCCUCACGAAAAGUAAAUAUAUCCAACCAACUCCAAGAAGAGAAUCCAAACCACAAUAUGUUCAAAAGAUACAUUCAAGCCCCUUGCUAUGGAGAAGCAAUGAACUCAGGCUUCUUAGCAGCUGCCAUACGCUUCCGUCGGCUUGCCAGAGCACGGCGGGAACAUGUGUAUCCCAUGUAUGUUAUCCCGAGGAUAACAAGCACACCAAGUGCCACUCGAGAAUCCCAGACCAACGCUUGCCAACGAGUUUGGAAAAAGAAAGUUCGUUCGGUAGGUCGACGAAUGGCGACAAGUUGCGAAAGAGUCGACCAGAAGGAUCCAAUGAAGGACUCAGCUCGC